rnacentral:rRNA from 1 species
UCGGCGGGGUAACGGCCCACCAAGGCAACGAUCAGUAGGGGUUCUUGAGAGGAAGGUCCCCCACAUUCGGAAACUGAGACACGGUCCAAACUCCUACGGGAGGCAGCAGUCGAGGAAAUAUUCGGUCAAUCGGACGGAAGUUCUGAACCAGCCAAGUAGCGUCGCAGGAAGAACGGCCUCUAUGGGUUCGUAAACUCGCUUUUCGUAUGGGGAUAAAGUUAGGGAACGUGUCCCUAUUUUGCAGGUACCAUACGAAUAAGGACCGGCUAAUUUCCGUGCCAGCCAGCCGCGGUAAUACGGAAGUCCCAGGCGUUUAUCCGGAUUUAUUUGGGUUUAAAGGGAGCCGUAGGCUGGAGAUUAAGUGUGUUGUGAAAUGUAGACGCUCAACGUCUGAAUUGCAGCGCAUACUGGUUUCCUUGAGUACGCACAACGUUGGCGGAAUUCGUCGUGUAGCGGUGAAAUGCUUAGAUAUGACGAAGAACUCCGAUUGCGAAGGCAGCUGACGGGAGCGCAACUGACGCUUAAGCUCGAAGGUGCGGGUAUCAAACAGGAUUAGAUACCCUGGUAGUCCGCACAGUAAACGAUGGAUGCCCGCUGUUGGUACCUGGUAUCAGCGGCUAAGCGAAAGCAUUAAGCAUCCCACCUGGGGAGUACGCUGGCAACGGUGAAACUCAAAGGAAUUGACGGGGGCCCGCACAAGCGGAGGAACAUGUGGUUUAAUUCGAUGAUACGCGAGGAACCUUACCCGGGCUUGAAUUGCAGAGGAAGGAUUUAGAGAUAAUGACGCCCUUCGGGGUCUCUGUGAAGGUGCUGCAUGGUUGUCGUCAGCUCGUGCCGUGAGGUGUCGGCUUAAGUGCCAUGACGAGCGCAACCCCUCUCUUCAGUUGCCAUCAGGUAAUGCUGGGCACUCUGGAGACACUGCCACCGUAAGGUGUGAGGAAGGUGGGGAUGACGUCAAAUCAGCACGGCCCUUACGUCCGGGGCUACACACGUGUUACAAUGGCCGGUACAGAGGGAUGGUGUAAUGCAAAUUGCAUCAAAUCUUGAAAGCCGGUCCCAGUUCGGACUGGGGUCUGCAACCCGACCCCACGAAGCUGGAUUCGCUAGUAAUCGCGCAUCAGCCAUGGCGCGGUGAAUACGUUCCCGGGCCUUGUACACACCGCCCGUC